UACGUAGGGGGCAAGCGUUGUCCGGAUUCAUUGGGCGUAAAGAGCGUGUAGGCGGCCCGGUAAGUCCGCUGUAAAAGUCAAAGGCUCAACCUUUGAAAGCCGAUGGAUACUGUGAGGCUAGAGUCCGGAAGAGGCGAGUGGAAUUCCUGGUGUAGCGGUGGAAUGCGCAGAUAUCAGGAAGAACACCAAUGGCGAAAGCAGCUCUCUGGGACGGUACUGACGCUGAGACGCGAAAGCGUGGGGAGCGAACAGG
rnacentral:rRNA from 1 species